CAAGCUGUUAUAUUCAUAGGGUCGGACGUGCUGGGCGAGCAAAUAAGAUUGGGAGCAGUUUAUUGUUUUUGACGGAGAAAGAAGAUGCUUACAUUGAAUUUCUGAAGCUCAAGAAAGUGCC
rnacentral:ribozyme from 1 species